rnacentral:rRNA from 1 species
UGCUAUACAUGCAAGUCGAGCGGGCCGCAGCAAUGCGGUCAGCGGCGGACGGGUGAGUAACGCGUGAACAAUCUGCCUUGUACAGGGGAACAACGUUCAGAAAUGAGCGCUAAUACCGCAUAAGACCACGGAGCGGCAUCGCACCGGGGCCAAAGGAGCAAUCCGGUACAAGAUGAGUUCGCGUUUCAUUAGUUAGUUGGCGGUGUAACGGACCACCAAGACGACGAUGGAUAGCCGGCCUAAGAGGGUGAACGGCCACACUGGAACUGAGACACGGUCCAGACUCCUACGGGAGGCAGCAGUAGGGAAUAUUGGGCAAUGGGCGAAAGCCUGACCCAGCAACGCCGCGUGAAUGAAGAAGGUCUUCGGAUUGUAAAGUUCUGUCGCAGGGGACGAAGAAUGACGGUACCCUGUAAGAAAGCCACGGCAAACUACGUGCCAGCAGCCGCGGUAAUACGUAGGUGGCGAGCGUUGUCCGGAAUGACUGGGCGUAAAGGGAGCGUAGGCGGUUGCCUAAGUUAUCUGUGAAAGCCCCGGGCUUAACCCGGGAAUUGCAGAUAAAACUGGGCGACUGGAGUGCGGGAGAGGGAAGCGGAAUUCCUAGUGUAGCGGUGGAAUGCGUAGAUAUUAGGAGGAACACCGGUGGCGAAGGCGGCUUUCUGGACCGUAACUGACGCUGAGGCUCGAAAGCGUGGGGAGCAAACAGGAUUAGAUACCCUGGUAGUCCACGCCCUAAACGAUGGAUACUAGAUGAAGGCGGUAUCGACUCCGCCUGUGUCGUAGCAAACGCGCUAAGUAUCCCGCCUGGGGAGUACGGCCGCAAGGUUGAAACUCAAGGAAUUGACGGGGACCCGCACAAGCAGCGGAGCAUGUGGUUUAAUUCGAGAUACGCGAGACCUUACCAAGCUUGACAUCGUGCGACAGUGCAGAGAUGCAUUUUUCGCAGCAUGCGACGCAUAGACGUGUGCAUGUNUCGUCA